UACGGAGGGUGCAAGCGUUAUCCGGAUUCACUGGGUUUAAAGGGUGCGUAGGUGGGUCGGUAAGUCCGUGGUGAAACCUCCGAGCUUAACUCGGAAACUGCCGUGGAUACUAUCAAUCUUGAAUAUCGUGGAGGUAAGCGGAAUAUGUCAUGUAGCGGUGAAAUGCUUAGAUAUGACAUAGAACACCGAUAGCAGAGGCAGCUUGCUACACGAUCAUUGACACUGAGGCACGAAAGCGUGGGGAGCAAACAGG
rnacentral:rRNA from 1 species